ACCUACGGGGGGCAGCAGUAGGGAAUUUUCGUCAAUGGGCGCAAGCCUGAACGAGCAAUGCCGCGUGAACGAGGAAGGUCUUCGGAUCGUAAAGUUCUGUUGAAGGGGAAAAAGAGCGGAGAGAGGAAAUGCUUUCUGAUUGAUAUUACCCUUCGAGGAAGUCACGGCUAACUACGUGCCAGCAGCCGCGGUAAUACGUAGGUGGCGAGCGUUAUCCGGAAUGAUUGGGCGUAAAGGGUGCGUAGGCGGCCUGCUAAGUCUGGAGUGAAAGGUACCGGCUCAACCGGUACAGGCUCUGGAACCUG
rnacentral:rRNA from 1 species